rnacentral:rRNA from 1 species
AACGAACGCUGGCGGCAUGCCUAACACAUGCAAGUCGAACGAGACCUUCGGGUCUAGUGGCGCACGGGUGCGUAACGCGUGGGAACCUGCCCUUAGGUUCGGAAUAACUCCCCGAAAGGGGUGCUAAUACCGGAUAAUGACUGCGGACCAAAGAUUUAUCGCCUUUGGAUGGGCCCGCGUUGGAUUAGCUAGUUGGUAGGGUAAAAGCCUACCAAGGCGACGAUCCAUAGCUGGUCUGAGAGGAUGAUCAGCCACACUGGGACUGAGACACGGCCCAGACUCCUACGGGAGGCAGCAGUGGGGAAUAUUGGACAAUGGGCGAAAGCCUGAUCCAGCAAUGCCGCGUGAGUGAUGAAGGCCUUAGGGUUGUAAAGCUCUUUUACCCGGGAUGAUAAUGACAGUACCGGGAGAAUAAGCUCCGGCUAACUCCGUG